rnacentral:rRNA from 1 species
UACGUAGGGUGCAAGCGUUGUCCGGAAUCAUUGGGCGUAAAGAGCGUGUAGGCGGCUCGGUAAGUCCGCUCUGAAAGCCCGGGGCUCAACCCCGGGAGGCGGGCGGAUACUGUCGGGCUAGAGUCCGGAAGAGGCGAGUGGAAUUCCUGGUGUAGCGGUGAAAUGCGCAGAUAUCAGGAGGAACACCAAUGGCGAAGGCAGCUCGCUGGGACGGUACUGACGCUGAGACGCGAAAGCGUGGGGAGCGAACAGG